rnacentral:rRNA from 1 species
AUUGAACGCUGGCGGCAUGCCUUACACAUGCAAGUCGAACGGUAACGGGUCCUUCGGGAUGCCGACGAGUGGCGAACGGGUGAGUAAUAUAUCGGAACGUGCCCAGUAGUGGGGGAUAACUGCUCGAAAGAGCAGCUAAUACCGCAUACGACCUGAGGGUGAAAGGGGGGGAUCGCAAGACCUCUCGCUAUUGGAGCGGCCGAUAUAAGAUUAGCUAGUUGGUGGGGUAAAGGCCUACCAAGGCAACGAUCUGUAGUUGGUCUGAGAGGACGACCAGCCACACUGGGACUGAAGCACGGCCCAGACUCCUACGGGAGGCAGCAGUGGGGAAUUUUGGACAAUGGGCGCAAGCCUGAUCCAGCAAUGCCGCGUGCAGGAAGAAGGCCUUCGGGUUGUAAACUGCUUUUGUCAGGGAAGAAAUCUUCUGGGCUAAUACCCCGGGAGGAUGACGGUACCUGAAGAAUAAGCACCGGCUAACUACGUGCCAGCCGCCGCCGUAA